rnacentral:rRNA from 1 species
GACGAACGCUGGCGGCGUGCUUAACACAUGCAAGUCGAACGGAAAGGCCCUGCUUUUGUGGGGUGCUCGAGUGGCGAACGGGUGAGUAACACGUGAGUAACCUGCCCUUGACUUUGGGAUAACUUCAGGAAACUGGGGCUAAUACCGGAUAGGAGCUCCUGCUGCAUGGUGGGGGUUGGAAAGUUUCGGCGGUUGGGGAUGGACUCGCGGCUUAUCAGCUUGUUGGUGGGGUAGUGGCUUACCAAGGCUUUGACGGGUAGCCGGCCUGAGAGGGUGACCGGCAACAUUGGAACUGGGAUACGGCCCAGACUCCUCCGGAGGCAGCAGUGGGGAAUAUUGCACAAUGGGCGGAAGCCUGAUGCAGCAACGCCGCGUGCGGGAUGACGGCCUUCGGGUUGUAAACCGCUUUCGCCUGUGACGAAGCGUGAGUGACGGUAAUGGGUAAAGAAGCACCGGCUAACUACGUG